rnacentral:rRNA from 1 species
AGCGAACGCUGGCGGCAGGCUUAACACAUGCAAGUCGAGCGGGCAUCCUUGUGGUGUCAGCGACAGACGGGUGAGUAACGCGUGGGAACGUGCCCUUCGGUUCGGAAUAACUCAGGGAAACUUGAGCUAAUACCGGAUACGUGCGAGAGCAGAAAGGUUUAUCUGCCGAAGGAUCGGCCCGCGUCUGAUUAGCUAGUUGGUGAGGUUACGGCUCACCAAGGCGACGAUCAGUAGCUGGUCUGAGAGGAUGAUCAGCCACACUGGGACUGAGACACGGCCCCGCCCCCCCAGGGCGGGCCGGGGGGGGAAAUUUGGAACUGGGGGGGAACCCUGGCCCGCCCUGCCCCGGGGGGAUAUGGCGGCCUUGGGGUUUUAAAGCCUCUUUCUCCGGCACGAUAGUGGCGGGACCGGAGGAAGAAGCCCCGGGCAACUUCGU